CCUACGGGUGGCAGCAGUGAGGAAUAUUGGUCAAUGGACGAGAGUCUGAACCAGCCAAGUCGCGUGAAGGAUGACUGCCCUAUGGGUUGUAAACUUCUUUUAUAAGGGAAUAAAACGAGGAACGUGUGCCGUUUUGAAUGUACUUUAUGAAUAAGGAUCGGCUAACUCCGUGCCAGCAGCCGCGGUAAUACGGAGGAUCCGAGCGUUAUCCGGAUUUAUUGGGUUUAAAGGGAGCGUAGAUGGUUUGUUAAGUCAGUUGUGAAAGUUUGCGGCUCAACCGUAGAAUUGCAUUUGAUACUGGCAGUCUUGAGUACAGUUGAGGUAGGCGGAAUGCGUGGUGUAGCGGUGAAAUGCAUAGAGAUCACGAAGAACCCCGAUUGCGAAGGCAGCUUACUAAACUGUGACUGACAUUGAUGCACGAAAGUGUGGGUAUCAAACAGGAUUAGAUACCCCUGUAGUC
rnacentral:rRNA from 1 species